ACUUGCUGGUAAAUCAAGCUUUAAGUUACUGGUUUCCUUUGCCAAGGUCAAUAGUGUCACUACCCCACUUAUGAAGAAAUGACUUAUGAAGAAAAAUGACUUAUGAAGAAAAAUAUGAAACCAAAUGAAAGGCUACAACUAAGUCUAUUUUCCUUACCCACUGCUCCAGAAUCCAGGAUAGUGACUGGCACAGAGUUGACAGCUAUUAAACAUUUUUUAAAAAUGAACAAAUAA
rnacentral:lncRNA from 13 species